rnacentral:rRNA from 1 species
UCCUGGGUCCGGAACUGAAUGCACCUGAUCAUGUCUGAUCUUGGAAGCUAAGAAGUGUUGGGCCUGGAUGGGAAGUUAGUGCUUGGAUGGGAGACACCUGGGAAUACUGGGUACUAUAGGCU